rnacentral:rRNA from 1 species
CCGUGCCCAAGAGAUCGGGAUAACACCUGGAAACAGAUGCUAAUACCGGAUAACAACAGAUGAUGCCUAUCAACUGUUUAAAAGAUGGUUCUGCUAUCACUCUUGGAUGGACCUGCGGUGCAUUAGCUAGUUGGUAGGGUAACGGCCUACCAAGGCGAUGAUGCAUAGCCGAGUUGAGAGACUGAUCGGCCACAUUGGGACUGAGACACGGCCCAAACUCCUACGGGAGGCAGCAGUC